UACGUAGGGGGCUAGCGUUGUCCGGAUUUAUUGGGCGUAAAGCGCACGUAGGCGGAUCGUUAAGUCAGGGGUGAAAUCCUGGAGCUCAACUCCAGAACUGCCUUUGAUACUGGCGACCUUGAGUUCGGGAGAGGUGAGUGGAACUGCGAGUGUAGAGGUGAAAUUCGUAGAUAUUCGCAAGAACACCAGUGGCGAAGGCGGCUCACUGGCCCGAUACUGACGCUGAGGUGCGAAAGCGUGGGGAGCAAACAGG
rnacentral:rRNA from 1 species